CCCAGACCGCCAGCUAAGGUCCCAAAGUCAUGGUUAAGUGGGAAACGAUGUGGGAAGGCCCAGACAGCCAGGAUGUUGGCUUAGAAGCAGCCAUCAUUUAAAGAAAGCGUAAUAGCUCACUGGUCGAGUCGGCCUGCGCGGAAGAUGUAACGGGGCUAAACCAUGCACCGAAGCUGCGGCAGCGAACGUAUCACUUAAAGCGAUUCAGCGGRUKACGAUUGACGGAGCGAAGCGACGUCAAAGCGUAUACAAAGUCGAGUCGGUUUAAGGAUACGUUCGUUGGGUAGGGGAGCGUUCUGUAAGCCUGYGAAGGUGKSYYGUGAGGSWUGCUGGAGGUAUCAGAAGUGCGAAUGCUGACAUAAGUAACGAUAAAGCGGGUGAAAAGCCCGCUCGCCGGAAGACCAAGGGUUCCUGUCCAACGUUAAUCGGGGCAGGGUGAGUCGACCCCUAAGGCGAGGCCGAAAGGCGUAGUCGAUGGGAAACGGGUUAAUAUUCCCGUACUUGGUGUUACUGCGAAGGGGGGACGGAGAAGGCUAUGUUGGCCGGGCGACGGUUGUCCCG
rnacentral:rRNA from 1 species